rnacentral:tRNA from 1 species
GAGGGUGCAGCUCAGUGGUGGAGCAUGUGCUUAGCAUGCACAAGGUCCUGGGUUCAAUCCCUAGUAGUUCCA